rnacentral:lncRNA from 1 species
UAAAAAGCCAAGCACAAAGAGUUUUCAGACAAAAAGGCAUAGCAAGCAACUGUCAAAACACAGUGCCAUGUUGAAUAUUGUCAGCUUCCUUCCAUCUGCUGUCUCAAAAACCUAGCUUCUCUCUUGCAUUCCAGGGAUGCUGACGGAGGAGGAGAGCCAGAUUCUGGCACAAAGUGUUUCUCCUAAAGAAAAAAAAAUGACUCUGGAUAAUGUAACAUCAGCUACUCGAAGAAGACAGUGGGCAGACACUGAAGCUUUUAGUUCACACCAGGGUAGCAGAAGUCAGCUUGCUUCUUGCUUCCUUUAAGUGAUUGGCUUUGGUGAACGCAAUAGUUGUUCGGGUACACAGGAAUCUGCUUAAUCUUUCAAAUGCUGGUCAUGCUCCCCAGGUAAUGAUCCAACACAUGCUUAUGUUGCUGCCUCCCAAAUUAGUGCACACAGGGUUGUACAAAGUCAGGUUCAGGAGGGAGUUGAUGCUCCAGCAGGGAGCUGGUCCCUAGACACAGAGGCCAGCACUCUUAAUUGAUAAUGAACAGACAGGAGGAAAAUGGGAACCCUGAGAUCUAGUGGAAGAAGUAAGAUAAUUUACUCAAUUUGUUUUCCUGGAAAUGAAGACUUUAUGUCA